CCCAAUAGAAGUGAUUUCGAAUGUGUGUGUAUUUUAUACAGUAUAGCAGCAUGUGUUCCGUUGUGUCUUUUUCAUCACAAAGAUCGCAUUCUUCCGAAUCUACUAGGCGCAUUUUAGCCAACCAGUAGUUCGAGAAGUCGUGUCCAGCCAGUAUUCUAUUUAGUGUUCGCACUUCUUCCCCAUUGAAUGUUGAUUUCCAAAACCACGGUCUUCUUGGAAAGCAGAGAAGUUUGUUGACGAUAAUCGCAUCAUUAUUCAAUCCUGCCUUUGCCAGGGUAUCUGCUGCUUCGUUUCCCUCCAGACCCACAUGGCCUGGAAUCCACUGAAGUACAGUGCCCGUUGUUUGCAGUUCUUUGCAAAUUGUACCAGUCAGACUGUCCCAUGAUUUGGAUUCUUGGUGUUUUUCCAAAAGUAGACAUGCAGACUGGGAGUCGCUGAUGUGUUUUCCACUCGUAAAACCAUCCGUACUCGUGCCCGAUCGUAACCGAACUGUUUUCGGGAAUCUUGAUUUUUCCAUGUUACUUUUUUUUGGCCAUGUAAAAUCGAAAAUCCAUCUCCCAAUUGGCGAAUCAAAGCGUGAUUGACUCACAGAUGGCAAGUAUGUAAAAAUGAUGAUGAGAAAUUUGACAUCCGUCAAACUACGGUGAUUUUUUUUGGUAUUUACGAAACCUUCUCUAAUAUCUUCAACACGGAAUC